UUGUGAGUACUAAAAAUUCAUCAAUUGCCAAGGAAUCAGGGCAACUAGCAGAGCAGAGGUCGUCAGACUUGAACUAUUGUUCAAUACACUACUUUGAAUGAUCUUGCAGCAAAAUCCUCAUCGCCACCUAACAACCAGAACCCAUGAUCAAAUAAUACCAUCAGAACGUUAAUCAAAGCCCAAAUGACCUCAACCAGAAAAGUUGCGAAACCAUUCAUGUAUCAUAGAGACCCACCAAAGGAAAUCUGUUGAUGAACUUCGCAAAAUAAAUGAACCGAACUCAAAAAUGAUGAAAAGAAAUGUCCAGAUGCCCACCUCUUCUUCUUGCCUUCGGUAUCAACCUUGUCCCCAUCUUCAAAUGCUCUUCAACUUUUCCUCCUUCUUCCUCUGUUCUUUCCGUUGCCUAAGAGGGAAGAU
rnacentral:lncRNA from 1 species